CCCCUGCAACACCCACACUCUUCCAAUCUCUCCCGCCAAUUCCACCUCCUACAAAUCCGCAUACCAGCCAUCACCGACCUCCACUACCGGCACUUAGUCAAGUUACCGGAGGGAGAAGACGGAAGUCGUUUCCGUUUGCUCUAGAAGCCAAGAUGAUUAUCACGCCACUAUCAAGGCCCUCAAUUCCAGAGGUCGCUUUCCGAGAAAAUCUUUCAGCCAGCAUUACAUGUUGAAUUCUGAAAUUAACGAGCAGCUUUCUCUUGCGGCUAAUGUUAAGCAAGGGAUCUGGUGUUAGACAUUGGACCUGGAACUGGAUCUCUGACCAACGUCCUUAUAAAUGCUGGUGCUAUCGUCCUUGCAAUCGAAAAAGGUUGGUUUUAUACCGAGGAUAUCGUCACAUAUUUUUGUACUUACCAGAAUUCUUUCUAGCUAGAGAUUAUGUAUUGUUUUUCUUGUUCUAUUCUGGUGUUAUUCGGUAGCUACAGAAUUAUGCACUCUUUGAGUUAUGUGCUACGGGAUCCACACAUGGCUGACCUUGUGAGAGAAAGGUUUGCAGGCAUAGACCAGUUCAAGGUUUUGCAGGUGGACUUCGCUAAGUGUCACAUUCACUCCCACAUGAACUCAUUGUUGGAAAGUAGAAAGUCUUUAGCUGCAAACUCAAGCCAUGCAAAAUGAGCUAAUUCCAUGGGGCCAUUUGGUUCAUUAAUGCUUGUAACAUUAAAAGACAGCAUUCAAGUACAAAUACGUGCAUUUUGUUCUAAAAACCCAGCCUUUUCGAAGGAGGAUGGAAAAUGUGACAAAAGUUGGCUUUCAAGAUAUUUAUAUCUUGGCAUUAAGAAACUGGGGGUAUUAAGGCCCUUCCUUACUUGCAAAUUGCCUCCACCACACCUCAUCGUCAAUUGAUUCAGAUAUCUGAGUGCCACAGGAACAUCUUUACUCUACUGUGACAGGAACCAUGUGAAUGCUACCAUAUGCUGGAUAUUGAAGUUGGUCUAGGGCUGAAGAGGAAACAUUUGAUAGCUAUCUCACUUUUGGUUGGAAAUGACCAUGACCUACAUGGGGUGCAAUGAAUUGGGCUUUGACACAGCUCUUCAGUUUGUCGAAAA